GAUGAACGCUGGCGGCGUGCCUAAUACAUGCAAGUCGAGCGAACAGACGAGGAGCUUGCUCCUCUGACGUUAGCGGCGGACGGGUGAGUACCACGUGGAUAACCUACCUAUAAGACUGGGAUAACUUCGGGAAACCGGAGCUAAUACCGGAUAAUAUAUUGAACCGCAUGGUUCAAUAGUGAAAGACGGUUUUGCUGUCACUUAUAGAUUGAUCCGCGCCGCAUUAGCUAGUUGGUAAGGUAACGGCUUACCAAGGCAACGAUGCGUAGCCGACCUGAGAGGGUGAUCGGCCACACUGGAACUGAGACACGGUCCAGACUCCUACGGGAGGCAGCAGCAGGGAAUCUUCCGCAAUGGGCGAAAGCCUGACGGAGCAACGCCGCGUGAGGGAUGAAGGUCUUCGGAUCGUAAAACGCUGUUAUUAGGGAAGAACAAAUGUGUAAGUAACUAGGAACGUCAUGACGGUACCUAAUCAGAAAGCCACGGCUAACUACGUG
rnacentral:rRNA from 1 species